UGAAAACAUGCCUAGGGAGUAUGCCAGCUGUAUUAGUCUUCCAUCUGGAGUCCUUUGAACACAUAACAAAGUACCUGUGGCUUGGUGUUUGUUUGCAGGGGCACCCCAUGCAGAGAUGGGCAUCCUAACCCAUCUCUGGGAUUUUAUCAAGCACUUCCAAGGCUAAGUACUGAAUGGAGGAGAAGACCAGAACUGCCCCCAUAGCAAGGGGGAAGUCCAAGAGAACAUGACUUUGGCCUGUCUUCCAAACAGACUUGCAUGAAGACAGAGUUCUGGGCACUAAGAAACUGAGGGUUGGCUGGAAAGAAAUGGGAUAUUUCUUGAUUAUCCCUGCAACCCUGGAAAAAGGAAAAGUAAUCCUUCAUCUUAUGGGACAACUGAUAGUCCUAGAAGCAGGAGCAGCAAGUGCAACGCUACACAAC
rnacentral:lncRNA from 10 species